GACGAACGCUGGCGGCGUGCCUAAUACAUGCAAGUUGAGCGCUGAAGGUUGGUACUUGUACCAACUGGAUGAGCAGCGAACGGGUGAGUAACGCGUGGGGAAUCUGCCUUUGAGCGGGGGACAACAUUUGGAAACGAAUGCUAAUACCGCAUAAAAACUUUAAACACAAGUUUUAAGUUUGAAAGAUGCAAUUGCAUCACUCAAAGAUGAUCCCGCGUUGUAUUAGCUAGUUGGUGAGGUAAAGGCUCACCAAGGCGAUGAUACAUAGCCGACCUGAGAGGGUGAUCGGCCACAUUGGGACUGAGACACGGCCCAAACUCCUACGGGAGGCAGCAGUAGGGAAUCUUCGGCAAUGGACGAAAGUCUGAACGAGCAACGCCGCGUGAGUGAAGAAGGUUUUCGGAUCGUAAAACUCUGUUGGUAGAGAAGAACGUUGGUGAGAGUGGAAAGCUCAUCAAGUGACGGUAACUACCCAGAAAGGGACGGCUAACUACGUG
rnacentral:rRNA from 1 species